GGCACUAUGAUCGAGUGGUCUAAGAUGCAAGAUUAAGGCUACCGUCCGGCUCUUGUCCUUCGGGGCGUGGGUUCAAAUCCCACUGGUGUCA